AUUGAACGCUGGCGGCAUGCCUUACACAUGCAAGUCGAACGGUAACAGGUCUUCGGAUGCUGACGAGUGGCGAACGGGUGAGUAAUACAUCGGAACGUGCCUAGUAGUGGGGGAUAACUACUCGAAAGAGUGGCUAAUACCGCAUGUGAUCUACGGAUGAAAGCAGGGGAUCGCAAGACCUUGUGCUACUAGAGCGGCCGAUGGCAGAUUAGGUAGUUGGUGGGAUAAAAGCUUACCAAGCCGACGAUCUGUAGCUGGUCGGAGAGGACGAUCAGCCACACUGGGACUGAGACACGGCCCAGACUCCUACGGGAGGCAGCAGUGGGGAAUUUUGGACAAUGGGCGCAAGCCUGAUCCAGCAAUGCCGCGUGCAGGAUGAAGGCCUUCGGGUUGUAAACUGCUUUUGUACGGAACGAAAAGCCCUGGGUUAAUACCCUGGGGUCAUGACGGUACCGUAAGAAUAAGCACCGGCUAACUACGUGCCAGCAGCCGCAGUAAAAC
rnacentral:rRNA from 1 species